CAAGGUUGCUAUUGGAAACACUUUUUAAAUAUCUCAUGUGUCACAUCACAAUCAGCAUCAUAAUCUGGUCAGGUGGAUUGAUUUCAGAAGGCAGCAGAGGGCAUUGCUUACAGGGGUCGUAGACAUUCAGAUCAUGGCAGGACUGUCAUAGAAGUUACUUUGUGAAGACACAAAGAACAAUGUGAUUGGAGAGAUCAGUCUUCAAUUAGCUGUAUUUUCUAGAAGGCUACCUUUACUUAGCCUCGCAACAUGGGCCGUAGCUUUGGCACUAAAUCUGCACAAACACCUGGCUUAAGUGUUAUGACGGACUGACUAUUCAACCAAACCAUACAAAUGACCAAUUCCGUACAAAAGCGUGAACUUCAGUGUUGAACUGAAUCAACCAACCUCCUCAAUCCAAAUGGAGGACAUGUAGAAAUAAAAACAAAUGACUGAGAAGCCAACUUGCUCAAGGUUGACACCCAUGCCCAGGAUAUCUUUAAGGAAGACACAAAUAUGACCAAUAAUCUCCAUCUAGAGGCGAGGAUAACAAAGGAAGCUGAGGAAGUCUGUUCUGGAGGCACCAUGACAAAGCACCAGAGAGAAAGCAGUCACGUGUGGGGAGAUGAGCAGAGACACCACUUCUCAAGCACCUGAUUAUUCUUUCUCAGUAUUUAGAAGCAAAAAUUAUCCUUAAGAAAAACAACUGCAAACGCAACACAGGCUACACAGAUGAGAAAAUGGGAUUUCAAGAGAGAAGGCUGAAAAGGAAGGUGACUGGAAUAUUAAGAACUGUGAGAUAUUCUGAGGAAACUCUAAUUUGUAAAUUGGUAGAAAUGCCAGUAAUUUGUUGGGAAUUGAAGACCCUCUGUAUUCAAGAGUGAAGCUUGGCAGCUGUGCACUGUUGUUUUAUAAAUCAAUAUUACAUCUGAAGGUGGUAUUUGAA